UACGUAGGGGGCAAGCGUUGUCCGGAUUUAUUGGGCGUAAAGAGCGUGUAGGCGGCCAGACAGGUCCGUUGUGAAAACUGGAGGCUCAACCUCCAGACGUCGAUGGAAACCGUCUGGCUAGAGUCCGGAAGAGGAGAGUGGAAUUCCUGGUGUAGCGGUGAAAUGCGCAGAUAUCAGGAAGAACACCCGUGGCGAAAGCGGCUCUCUGGGACGGUACUGACGCUGAGACGCGAAAGCGUGGGGAGCGAACAGG
rnacentral:rRNA from 2 species